rnacentral:rRNA from 1 species
UACGUAGGGGGCGAGCGUUGUCCGGAAUUACUGGGCGUAAAGGGCGUGUAGGUGGUCAAUUAAGUCAGGUGUGAAAUUCCAGGGCUCAACCCUGGACGUGCACUUGAAACUGGUUGACUUGAGUGCAGGAGAGGAAAGUGGAAUUCCCAGUGUAGCGGUGAAAUGCGUAGAUAUUGGGAGGAACACCAGUGGCGAAGGCGACUUUCUGGCCUGUAACUGACACUGAGGCGCGAAAGCUAGGGGAG